GCCUAGUGGAGUCUGUACCUAAUUAACCCGCCCCCAAUUCCCCCUCCCCUUUCUAUAUAUAUAUGUGUGUGUGUGUGUGUAAUGUAUGUAUAUAUUCUUUUGCCCUCUCUGGCAAGUAGGUGUAUGUGUACACUUUGCAUUAUAUAAAGUCAAGCACUUUGUAUACUAGUACAUAGUUCAAAAGUCGACCUUUUACAUAAAAUUUCUCUUGGAUCAGAAUUCAAGAGAUGGUGUUUCUGUUGAAACAUCUGUUCCUCUCCGCCACCUUCUUCUUGUUUUCACUACACCAAGGCAAGGCUGAGCUGGGCCUGAAUGCCACCAGCGCCGCCGCUCGUAAGCUUGCUAGUGGUUGCAAUAUUUUUCGAGGCAAAUGGGUUUAUGAUGCCUCAUACCCUCUCUACGAUUUCUCAAAAUGUCCCUUCAUAGAUGAUGAAUUCAAUUGCCAAAAGUACAAAAGACCUGAUCGAACCUACCUCAAAUAUAGGUGGCAGCCUUUCUCAUGCAACCUUCCAAGGUGAGAAAAACUUUAGUUGGACGGUCUUUUACGUACACGUGACACACUUUUUAUGUAUGUAUAUAUUUAAAAUGGGUUGUGUUGCAGGUUUAAUGGGGUGACAUUCUUGGAGAGAUGGAGAGGGAAGAAGAUAAUGUUUGUGGGUGACUCACUGAGUCUGAACAUAUGGCAGUCAUUGAGUUGCAUGAUUCAUUCAUGGGUACCAAACGCUAAAACUACAGUGAUAAGAAGAGAAGUGCUUUCUGAAGUAACAUUCCUGGUAAGUUUCAAUUACAAUUCUUGCAUGCAUUUUUCACUUUAGUUUUGGGCUGGUAGGUGUCGUGGGGGUGGGGUAGCUAAUUUUAGUUGAACUACUUCACAUUAAUUUAAAUAUAAUAAAUGAUGACUUUGUAUAGUGCAUGAACGUGUUAUCCUUUUCCCUCGUAUUCUUUUGUUUGUGCUGACUAAUUGUUCUAAAUUUUACCUUUUAUUACUACACAAUUAUGCUUAUUUCGCAGCCCUAGACUGUAGUUUUUUAGAAAUUGAUUGAAGGAUUUAGGAAUUAAGCAAAAGGGAAGUGUUAGGUGACUUUUCUGAAAGCUACACACUCACUUUUAUCAAGUUGCUAACUGGCAGACAAUUAAUUACGAGGCUGCACCAAACUUUCUUUUGCUUCAAAAUGAUAAGUGAAACUUACUUCUUUUUGCUUCAGUCUGGUUAUUUAGUGGAAAUUCGUUAAUUUGUCAAGUAAUAUUUGCCUUGAUAGACAGUAAUCUGACGUAGAGAUCGUUUGGGUUUUGCUGUUUUUAUCUAUUUCAAAUAUUUCUUCUAUAAAUGCGAGGAAGUCGUAAAAGGCAACAAAACAUCAUUAUUACAAAGUUGGAAAAAAGUUGAUUGCGAAAUCAAGAACCAAACCAAGUUGCAGAAGUAAUCAUCAAGAUAACGUAUAAUUCAUGUAACUCACCGAAAUUUAAAAGACAAUGACUUUAGGAAUUAGUUAAUAUUUCUGCAAUUUUAAAUUGAUGAAGAUAGCUAAAUAUUGACGGGUAAAGAUUCUUGUUCACGGUCACAUGCGCCAUGGACUUAUAGCAUGGUCCAAUAUUAACUAGACAAUGCCUUUUCAACUCGUCCUUUCAUUCUAAUAUAUUUGAUACCUUAAUCAAACUAUGCAAUGAUUUUUUAUCCUUGUCUUAUAAUACGUAACACUUGGUCAAUACUCGAUACGAUCUUGCUGGUCGUAUAGAAGGGUGACAGACCAGAAACAUGAAGAGGCGGGGGCCACGGCUUUUUGUAUUUUUUAUUCAUGUAGGGUUGGCUUAAGAUUCACACACAUGUGAGUAUCUGUCGUAUAGGGUGUAAAUCAUUUUCUGGUAGAGUAGCUUUAUUCUACUCGAUUCACCGUUACAUCUAGAUACUUGGUCAGGGGUAGAUUCAGAAAAAAUUUUAAGACAGGCUAAUAUGCGGAAAAAAAAUUACACAUAAAAAAAAUUAUUUUUUCUUAAAAGAUGAAUUGGGCUGGGGGACGCUACUGUCGCUACAUCUGCCACUGUACUUGAUGUGUCUCAUAUUUUUGUAUGAGCCGUACCGGCUUUAAUCGUACAAAAAGAUAUGAGAUCCAAAGAUUCAUACUGACUUGAGCCGUGUCAUAUUUGGCGGUCCACCAAACUCAAUUUUAUAAAAGAUUUUUUUUUCUCUUUUUUUUUAUAUAUAUAAACAAGCUCAUGCAAGUCACGAGCCUAGUGAGUUAAGGACGGUAUCCACUUAAUCACAUUUCUCUAAAAAGUAUUUUAUGCACCCGCCUUGGAGACAAAAUUUUCACGUACUUCUCAUUCAUAGUAAUGUUUUAAUCUUUUCCAAAUCAAUUCAUCUAACACGUCUUCAACUUCGAUAAUUCAUAGUAAUAAGCCAAGAACACGUGCACGUAUGUGUUCAGAUGUGAUCAAAUACUAUGUAUUAAUGAUUCUUAUACACUAGUGUACACCCCUUUCACAUGAGAGGGGGUCCACAAUGAUUAAAAAAAUUUUGGGCCCCCUCUCAUGUGAGGGGAUUGUAAACUAGAGUAUACAAUUCUAAUGUACAUGUAGCAUUACUCAAUAAUAUGAGUGGUCUUUCAUACAAAAACGUGUGACAUCUUAGGCCUCUAUUUCUUCAGAUUUACUUCAUUUCACCUAUUCACUGUCACGCUUCUAGCUAGUUAAAGUCUGUAUAAGGUCCCCAGUCUGAAUUUUGAGUCACUUUCUCCCACAAAAGUAUGGUCAAAAUGCAAGCUUGCUUUGGACUCGUGAAGUGGUAAAGAGACAGCAUCAACGGAAAAAUAAAUAUUCGAAAAAAAUCUGCAGGCACUUUAUUAAUUCUUGAUUGGUUCGUAAAAUGUAUUUAAAAUUUAGGUGACAAUGCUCGUUGAUUCAAAAAAUAUAGAGAAUAAGAUUUUAUUAGUUGAGAAGAUUGAAGUUUUAUUUCAUCAACUAAGUAUUAAGUCAGCCUUAAUAAUAACUCUUUGUUGAAUGUUCAAUUUUUUUUUCUCUUUAGGAUUAUGGAGUGAAAUUACUAUUAUAUCGUACACCAUACCUAGUAGACUUGGAGAAGCAAAAUGUGGGUCGGGUUUUGAAGCUUGACUCGAUCAGGAAUGGGAAUGCGUGGCGAGGAAUGGACAUGUUGAUUUUCAACACGUGGCAUUGGUGGACUCACACCAAAAGUUCUCAACCGUAAAAUAAACAUUUAUUAUUAUUUUUUAAAAGAGUAAAUUUGAUAAAAAUAUAAAUUAAUAGCACAAUAUGUAUUGUUUAACCACUAUUCUUUUGGAUCUCUACUACAGAUGGGAUUACAUGGAAGAGGGAGGUAAAUUAUACAAAGACAUGAACCGUUUAAUUGCUUUCUACAAAGGAUUGACCACAUGGGCUAGAUGGGUCAACCGAAAUGUCGAUCCUUCCAAAACCAAAGUCUUUUUCCAAGGAAUUUCCCCAACACACUACGAGUAAGUAAAUGCUUAAUAAUUUGAUCCUCAUAAUAUAUUUGAUACAUUAAAUUAAAUAUAAUUUGACAUAAAAAUUAUUGUCAAAUGUUAUCGUGUUCCUUUCAUCCUUGAUUUUAUGCAACUCGACUUACAAAUAUGCCCUUUAUUUGAUGAGUUGGAUUGAAAUACUUAAACAAGAUAGCUAUAAUCCUUUUCUUGUGUUUAAAAUAGGGGCAAGGAUUGGAAUGAGCCAAGCAAGUCGUGCAGUAGUGAGACACAACCAUUCUUUGGGGUAAAAUAUCCGGCAGGCAUGCCAUUAUCUGCACUUGUCGUAAACAAAGUGUUGAGCAGAAUUAAGAAACCAGUUUAUUUACUAGAUAUAACAUUACUAUCCCAAUACAGAAAGGAUGCUCAUCCAGCAUAUUAUAGUAUGCACAAUGGCUUGGAUUGUAGUCACUGGUGCCUUCCUGGAUUACCAGAUACUUGGAAUGAGCUAUUCUAUACAACACUCUUCAGUUGAAGAUGCUGAGAUUCUCUAUUUGUCAUGUAAGGUUGUAAUAAGAAAUACGUGUGAUGUUAGAAUUGUAAACAAAAGUGAUUAUUUUUGGCAUGGAACGUUGCCAUCAUAGUGAAAUUUCUCAUAACAGUUCAUGUUUGAUUUCGUGUCGAAGUGCCCAUGUAGGCCAAUGAUUUCACGUCAAGCUCGAUUCUUUGCAUACUUUCAGCUUACUUAUGUCCCUGCCCUGUCCGGCCGGAGUAGGCCUCGUAGAGUUCUAAGUUAAGGUUUGCACUGUGCCCCGAGAAAUCAAGAAAAUAUUCACGUAUGAACAUUGUACAAUGUUUGAUUGAUCAGUAGAUUGAGCUUUUGGCGGUCUCCAACAAAUGCUAACUCUGUUGUCUGUGG
rnacentral:lncRNA from 1 species